rnacentral:rRNA from 1 species
UACAGAGGUGCCAAGCGUUUAGGCGGAAUCACUGGGCUUAAAGCGCGUGUAGGCGGGUCGUUAAGUGUCCGAGUGAAAUCCCACGGCUCAACCGUGGAACUGCCGGGCAUACUGGCGAUCUUGAGGCAUUCAGGGGCGAGCGGAGCAAAUGGUGGAGCGGUGAAAUGCGUAGAUAUCAUUUGGAACGCCAAUGGUGAAAACAGCUCGCUGGGAAUGAUCUGACGCUGAGACGCGAAAGCCAGGGGAGCGAACGGG